CUCUCCCGCUUCCACUCGGGCUCCUAGGGCGCGGUUUUCAGCUCCCCGCGCUCCAGCGGCUCCAGCGCCCGCUCCAGGCCAGGCCUGUUUGACGCCUGGGGUCCCGGCGCUGCUACGGCUCUGGCCGCGGACGUCACCGCUCCUGGGAGCCAGAGGUGGAUGCCUGCGUCUGACAGUGUCAGGCCCGGCUCGGCUCCGCUGCAGGCCCCGGCUCCUCCCCGGCUCCGCGCCGCGCCCCGCCCCGCCCCGCCCGCCUCCCGGCGCGGGUUAAGGAGGCGCCGCGGCCGGAGACCGGCCGGGGACCCGGAGGAGCGCCCGCCCUGCAGCUGUCAACCCCGCGCUCGGCAGCGCGGCUCUGCCGCGUCCCCCCUGCGGAUGGCUGGGCACCCUGGGCUUCCGCAGAGAUGCCCCGGGUGGGCUUCUCUUCCCUCGCAAAGUUCAUAGGAGUCCUGAGCACUGGGGCGAAGUUACCAGGGUCCCCGGAGCACCCGGGAGCUCAGGAAAUGCUCCGAGCGGCGUGGAAAGGUCUGGUCCCCUCGCUUCUGCGACUCUGUAAAUGGUGCACCGUCCUGAGUUGGAAAGAGGAGACCUGAAUGCUCCGACAGCCUCCCCUGCUGGCCCGGCAAUCACCAAGUGAGACAAGUGAGAAAAAUGACUUAACGGUGCGGUGUACAAGGGGACAAAAUACGCCUGCUGCGCACUUUACUCGGAAAUCCUUGUGAGCCCCUUGUCCUGAAGGCCACCGUGAGGUGGUCUCCCCGCAUGGCCCCUGCGGUGCUUCGGACUUCAUCCUCUGCUAAGGAUCUUCUAGACCAGAUGACUUAUAAAAGUGCGAACCAAAGUGCUCGUACUGCUUAUACUACACUUAGUCAUUCGAGUAAUUGAGAAGCAAAAAGAGGAGCAGAUUUGUUAUUUGCAAGAAGAAAAAUGCCACGGAAAGAUGACUACUAGUCUAUAAAAUCCAAGCAUGGUAAAGAUACCAAAAGAGGAAUGAUGUUAACAUUUUCCAGAAUUUUAAGAAGUCUUUAAGAAAGGAUGCAUUCUGUUGCUAGUAAUGUUAAAUAAGCAUACAAAUGUUCUUUUAGGUCAGUAAUUCAUUCCCUUGUAGCACUGUCACUUCCCUUAGAUUAUACCAAAUCAGCCAAAGUAGUAGUAUGAGGGGUGUGGUUUGCUGACAGUACCAAGUCUAAAGAAGAAAUAAAUGCCUGUUGUUAUUGU